AAACAUCAAAAUUUAAANCACGCUAUGGAGAAGAUGACUUUCUAUAUAUAUUACCAGUAAAGUUGAUGGUUGGACUAUUUACACUCUUUGCUUCAAUCGUUUGCAUGGUCUUAAAAUUUUGGUGCAACCUACUUUUUGGUCCACGAGGAAGAAAAGCCAGGGAUAUCACCAAAAAUUGUUACUGGUCUUGCUUUGCUUCCGAUCACCUUAUAUGUAACGCUAAAUUUUAGGUUAUGGUAUUCUGUAUUCCGCUCAACAAUCCGACCGUCAAGGUUUAUGUUCCGACCAGGUGAGCAUGGGCUUUUUCAAUAAAAGGAGCUACAAUACUAGUUAUCGUUACUAAGAAAAGUGGAGAAGCUUUAUUGUACUUUGUUGUUGUAUUUUCGAAUAAAAGGCUUCGUUUAGCCUUUAGUUUUUCUAGUUGUUACUUUAUUGUUGUUGUAUUUUCUAAUAAAAGGCUUUGUUUUUCGAGUGUGAAAAAAGUGGAGAAGCUUUCUCUUCUUAUUAAUUAGUCUUUGUAUUCUUCUACAUAUAUUUAUAAAUAAAUAUCACAACUAUCAUUGCA
rnacentral:lncRNA from 1 species